CCUCAUUCAAUUUGUUGAGAGUAGGAAGAGCAUUAGUCUCUUGCUUAGGUUUGCCAAAAAUCCGAGUAAACAUAUUUGAUUCGGUUUGAUUAGCUUCUGUAUCAAUCAAGACCCUUGUCUCCUAAUAGUCCUGUGAAAUCCAGACGAUAAAAGUAUAAAAUCACAUAAAAAUGAACUUAACACCAAAAGCUAGUUCUAUUCUGCUCCCUUGAGGAUUCCGGAAAACAUAGAAAAAUAUAAUUCAUCAGGUUCUAAAUUCUGCUCCCUCGACGAUUCCCAAAAACAUAUAUAGACACGCACACACACUUUCAUCAAGAGAAAUAAACUAUGUUACAAUACCUCAAAAUCUCCAAAAUAGAGCUUUAAAGUCGGCUAUUUAAUUGAUCAAUUACUUGAUGAAAAUCAGUUCCGGUUGCAAUUAAGGGCUUUGGAUUUUGGGGGUAAAAGUAAAAGUAAAAAGUUGGGUGUCGUCAUUGAUAGAUUGGUCCACACGACGUUUGUCAAGACUCAAGAAGCCAUCAUUUUUGAAUUCGAAAUAUACGAAACCCGCCCUUGUAAUUAC
rnacentral:lncRNA from 1 species